rnacentral:rRNA from 1 species
AACGAACGCUGGCGGCAGGCCUAAAACAUGCAAGUCGAACGCCCCGCAAGGGGAGUGGCGCACGGGUGAGUAACGCGUGGGAAUGUGCCUCUGGGUGCGGAACAACGUCUGGAAACGGACGCUAAUACCGCAUAAUGUCUACGGACCAAAGAUUUAUCGCCCAGAGAUCAGCCCGCGUCUGAUUAGGUAGUUGGUGGGGUAAUGGCCUACCAAGCCUACGAUCAGUAGCUGGUCUGAGAGGAUGAUCAGCCACACUGGAACUGAGACACGGUCCAGACUCCUACGGGAGGCAGCAGUUAGGAAUAUUGGACAAUGGGGGAAACCCUGAUCCAGCCAUGCCGCGUGUGUGACGAAGGCCUUAGGGUUGUAAAGCACUUUCGGCUGUGAAGAUAAUGACAGUAGCAGAAGAAGAAG